GUUCACCCAGGGCCGGAAAGUUGUCCAAACUUGGUCAUUUAGAGGAAGUAAAAGUCGUAACAAGGUCUCCGUAGGUGAACCUGCGGAGGGAUC
rnacentral:rRNA from 1 species